AGACUGGGCUGGGAAAGUUGUUGAGUGUUCAGAGCUUAAAGAGCUCAGAGCUGUUGUGGGAACUCAGAAGAUAAACUUGGGAUCAGUGAAGGCGGUGGGGAUCUGGUUUCUGAAGCAUCAAAGCCCCUUAAAAACUCCAACAGGGUGAUUUAUGUGGUAUUCUGAAUUAGAAAUCGGUGGUUCUGGUCAGUUGUGGCUGGAGAAUAAACUGUGAUUAGCAAGAGACCAGCUCUACUGGAGGGAGACUUUUGCUUUGCUAGGACACGUAAUACUGGCUAGAUGGAGUUGAGAAAUUAGUGGUGAUCAAGAAAAGACCAACAUCACUGAGGAUUGUAAAUUUGGUAGAAUUUACUCAGAGUGAGAACACAGAACCUGUGGUCCAGAGGAAUGGAGACUGAGUCUCAGGCUGGCAUCUGAACUUGAUUUGACAAGCGUUGUCACCCUUGUCAUUAAAACUUUGAGAUAAAAGAAAAGAUGCAAGAAUUGGGAUAUGAAAAGGAGGGAACGUGAGAAGAAAACAGACCCAUUUCUACUCUCACGUAUUUCAAGUGAUGUGGAAACUGAAGCCAGAAAGAUGGGUGAUUGACAUUCCUGAAUUUC